GAACCUCAAAGACUACUUUCCUUUUGCCCUUCACGAUCUGCACCUUACCCAAAUUCCUUAUCUCAACCGUUAAUAAUAUUCCAAUCUAAUGGCCAAAAUUUAAAUUUUUGAAUGGCAAAUUUGAUCUGUGUCAUUUCCUUUUCCACCAAUAAGCUUUCUCCAUUUCCUUUAUAAAUUUCCCUCCUUUAUUAUUAAUAAUAAAAUCAACAUAAUCCAAAUGAAGAAAAAGAAAUUUAAAUAUUUUACACCUCGUAAAAUUUAUUUGUUGAAUCAUGGCCACCGCUACCGCCUCCGCCGCAACUUCUAUCGCGAAGAAGAAAACCGCUAGUGUUAAGAAGCCGAGACAUGCUUCUUUACAUCCUCCUUUUCUUGAGAGAACAGGAUCGAGCCAAUAUGCCAUCACAAAAUUCAUUAAAGAAAAGCAUUAGCAGUUGCCCUCGAAUUUUCGGAAGAUUUUACUCGUUCAGGUGAAGAAAUUUGUUGCUUCAAGGAACCUUGUUAAAGUCAAAACUUCCUACAAGCUCCCUCUGGCCUCUUUCGUUGUUAAAAAGCCUGCCAACGCGAAGCCCAAAACUAUUUCUGCUGCAAUUAAACCAAAGCCUAUGGUAGUCAAAGCCCCGGCAAAACCAAAAGCAAAAUUAAAAGUCGCAACGCCUGUGAAGGCAAAGGCCAAAGCUGCGGUGAAACCUAAGCCUAAAAUUAAAGCAGUGACUAAGCCAACUAAGGUGACGAAGAUGGUUAAAACGAGUUCAACGGGGAAGAAAGUAAAGGCUCCAGCAAAGAAGAAAUCGGUGGUGGCAAAAAAGCCGAAGAGUGUGAAAUUGCCGGCUAAGAAAGCAGCUAAGAAGGCAACGAAAUGAGGGGAAAGGAAUUGGCGGUUUUGUUUUGCAAAGUAGGUGUAAAUUUGAUGAUGAAGUAGAGGUAGUUCUCGGAUUGUAAUCUUAUAUAUAACUAUGUAAUUUUUUCUUGUAAAACAAGUUGUGGGUAAUUUUAUUUUUAAAGUUCUCUCUCUUUUUUUUUAUUAUUUAAUUAAUAAUUUAGGUUGUGAUUUGGUUGUUUGAUGAAAAUUAGUUGUUGAUAUUAAUUAUUCUUUUAAUAUCAAAUUUGGAAUUGCCCAAAA